UUUAUGGAGAGUUUGAUCCUGGCUCAGGAUGAACGCUGGCGGCGUGCCUAAUACAUGCAAGUCGAGCGAACGGACGAGAAGCUUGCUUCUCUGAUGUUAGCGGCGGACGGGUGAGUAACACGUGGAUAACCUACCUAUAAGACUGGGAUAACUUCGGGAAACCGGAGCUAAUACCGGAUAAUAUUUUGAACCGCAUGGUUCAAAAGUGAAAGACGGUCUUGCUGUCACUUAUAGAUGGAUCCGCGCUGCAUUAGCUAGUUGGUAAGGUAACGGCUUACCAAGGCAACGAUGCAUAGCCGACCUGAGAGGGUGAUCGGCCACACUGGAACUGAGACACGGUCCAGACUCCUACGGGAGGCAGCAGUAGGGAAUCUUCCGCAAUGGGCGAAAGCCUGACGGAGCAACGCCGCGUGAGUGAUGAAGGUCUUCGGAUCGUAAAACUCUGUUAUUAGGGAAGAACAUAUGUGUAAGUAACUGUGCACAUCUUGACGGUACCUAAUCAGAAAGCCACGGCUAACUACGUGCCAGCAG
rnacentral:rRNA from 1 species